GUUAUAGGUACCUUGGUUGGCGAGUUAGUUAUAGGUACCUUGGUUGGCGAGUUAGUUACGUACCUUGGUUGGCUAGCUAGUUAUAGGCACCAUGGUUGGCUAGCUAGUUAUAGGUACCAUGGUUGGCUGGCUAGUUAUAGGUACCUUGGUUGGCUAGCUAGUUAGGUACCAUGGCUGGCUAGCUAGUUAGGUACCAUGGUUGGCUAGCUAGUUAUAGGUACCUUGGUUGGCGAGUUAGUUAGGUACCUUGGUUGGCUAGCUAGUUAUAGGUACCUUGGUUGGCUAGCUAGUUAUAGGUACCAUGGUUGGCUAGCUAGUUAUAGGUACCAUGGUUGGCUAGCUAGUUAUAGGUACCUUGGUUGGCUAGCUAGUUAUAGGUACCAUGGUUGGCUGGCUAGUAAGUUAGGUACCUUGGUUGGCUAGUUGGCUACAUUAGCUAAGGUUGGCUAGUUAGUUAUGUACCUUGGUUGGCUAGUUAGUUAUGUACCUUGGUUGGCUAGUAAGUUAGGUACCAUGGUUGGCUAGUUAGUUAUGUACCUUGGUUGGCUAGUUAGUUAGGUACCUUGGUUGGCUAGCUAGUUAUAGGUACCAUGGUUGCCUAGCUAGUUAUAGGUACCAUGGUUGGCUGGCUAGUAAGUUAGGUACCUUGGUUGGCUAGCUAGUUAUAGGUACCAUGGUUGGCUAGUAAGUUAGGUACCUUGGUUGGC